CGGGUAUAGCUCAGUGGUAGAGCAGUGGCUUCCCAAGCCUCGUGUCACGAGUUCGAAUCUCGCUACCC
rnacentral:tRNA from 1 species